AUCAAGUACAACUCCUGGCUCUUCACACCAUGUGCCUGAGAGCAUUGUCUAAACUCUUCUUGAGCUCUGCCAGACUUGCUGCUGUGACCACUUCCCUGGGGAGGCUGUUCCAGUGCCCAACCACUCUCUGGGG